rnacentral:rRNA from 1 species
AUUGAACGCUGGCGGCAGGCCUAACACAUGCAAGUCGAGCGGAUGAAGGGAGCUUGCUCCCGGAUUCAGCGGCGGACGGGUGAGUAAUGCCUAGGAAUCUGCCUGGUAGUGGGGGAUAACGUCCGGAAACGGGCGCUAAUACCGCAUACGUCCUGAGGGAGAAAGUGGGGGAUCUUCGGACCUCACGCUAUCAGAUGAGCCUAGGUCGGAUUAGCUAGUUGGUGGGGUAAAGGCCUACCAAGGCGACGAUCCGUAACUGGUCUGAGAGGAUGAUCAGUCACACUGGAACUGAGACACGGUCCAGACUCCUACGGGAGGCAGCAGUGGGGAAUAUUGGACAAUGGGCGAAAGCCUGAUCCAGCCAUGCCGCGUGUGUGAAGAAGGUCUUCGGAUAGUAAAGCACUUUAAGUUGGGAGGAAGGGCAGUAAGUUAAUACCUUGCUGUUUUGACGUUACCAACAGAAUAAGCACCGGCUAACUUCGUG